rnacentral:precursor_RNA from 8 species
UGAGCUAUAAUCGUGUUGCUGCACUCCAGCAGGAGUGACAGAGUUAGACUCUUUUUUUUUUUUUCGAGACAGAGUCUCGCUCUGUCAGUCAGGCUGGAGUGCAGUGGUGAGAACCCGGGAGGCG